rnacentral:rRNA from 1 species
GUCAGCAGCCGCGGUAACACCGGCGGCCCGAGUGGUGAUCGUGAUUAUUGGGUCUAAAGGGUCCGUAGCCGGUUUGGUCAGUCCUCCGGGAAAUCUGAUAGCUCAACUAUUAGGCUUUCGGGGGAUACUGCCAGACUUGGAACCGGGAGAGGUAAGAGGUACUACAGGGGUAGGAGUGAAAUCUUGUAAUCCCUGUGGGACCACCUGUGGCGAAGGCGUCUUACCAGAACGGGUUCGACGGUGAGGGACGAAAGCUGGGGGCACGAACCGGAUUAGAUACCCGGGUAGUCCCAGCCGUAAACGAUGCUCGCUAGGUGUCAGGCAUGGCGCGACCGUGUCUGGUGCCGCAGGGAAGCCGUGAAGCGAGCCACCUGGGAAGUACGGCCGCAAGGCUGAAACUUAAAGGAAUUGGCGGGGGAGCACAACAACGGGUGGAGCCUGCGGUUUAAUUGGACUCAACGCCGGACAACUCACCGGGGGCGACAGCAAUAUGUAGGCCAAGCUGAAGACUUUGCCUGAAUCGCUGAGAAGAGGUGCAUGG